rnacentral:lncRNA from 1 species
CCCACCACACCUCCAGUCCUCCACUGACAAGCCGCCGCCGCUCUUCCACCUACCUCUCCCCGGCCUCGCACCCAUGGCCACGGCUUUGAUGGUUGCAGCCACCACCUCCUGCUCCCCGGGCCGCGCCGCGCCGCGCCUGAAGCCGGUGGCCUCCUCCUCCUCCAGCAGCAGCAGCAGCUCGGCGCGGCCGCGGCGGCCCUUGGCGCAGCAGCUCCCGCGGCUGCUGGCAACGGCGGCGGCGGCGGCGGCGGUGGCAGCUGCGCCGCUCCCGGCGCUGGCGGAGCAGAUGGAGAAGGCCGCACUGUUUGACUUCAACCUGACGCUCCCGGCGAUCGCGACCGAGUUCCUGCUGCUCAUGGUGGCGCUGGACAAGCUCUACUUCACGCCGCUAGGCAAGUUCAUGGAUGAGCGGGACGCCAAGAUCCGCGGUGAGCUCGGCGAUGUCAAGGGCGCCUCCGAGGAGGUGAAGCAGCUGGAGGACCAGGCGGCGGCCAUCAUGAAGGCGGCGCGCGCCGAGAUCGCGGCGGCGCUUAACAAGAUGAAGAAGGAGACCACCGCGGAGCUGGAGGCCAAGCUGGACGAGGGGCGCAGCCGUGUGGAGGCCGAGCUCGUAGAGGCGCUCGCCAACCUCGAGGCGCAGAAGGAGGAGGCUGUUAAGGCGCUCGACGCCCAGAUCGCCUCGCUCAGUGAUGAGAUCGUCAAGAAGGUGCUCCCAUCCGCGUGAUGAAACCAAACCGGCCCUGCCUUAUCCUACGACUAUAGUUACAUGAACAUCAUAAAUUAAUGAUAAUUUUGAAGAAAUUGGCCGAUGACUCCGACACUGUACUCAUGAAAGAUUAUUGGAUGGGUUGUGUCCACCGCCUGUGUUGGGUGUGGAUUGUUGUAGACUCGCAGUGAUCUUUCUCGAUAAGCUUGUACAGUUCAGUACAUACAGACACACAUUGAAACCAUAUAGAUACAGGAUACAUUUUGCCCUAGUGAGUUCAACCAUUAAAUCUUAAGUUAUACUACCCGUUCUCGAAUAUUUGUCGCUAACUUGAACUAAAACACAACAAAUAAAAAAGAAACAGAGGUAGUACAGGUAAGCCAACUUUUUUGCAAUUUGGCCCUUUUCGGGUUUUUUUCCCACAUUUAUGCCCCUGACAGUUUCAUUUCAAAAAAUGGACCCUUAGCUCGGCGCCGUCAUCAUUGGCGCCGGGCAUGUGUGUGCCGGCGCCAAUACUAUUGGCGCUUAUACGUCAGACGCCGGUGUGAUCUGGAUUGACGUGGCACGUACCUCGGCGCCAUAGAUCUUGGCGCCGAGGUAGGCGCCCGGUCAACGACGCCUACCUCGGCGCCAAGAUCUAUGGCGCCGAGGUACGUUCCUAUAAAUAGUACCCUACGUCUGGCUUGUUGCUGUGCUCAUUUCAAUUCUUCUAAACUAGAGAUGUCUAGGCGUGGUAAAUAUGCUAAACAAAGGUAAGUUUUGGAUCUGCCUCUUAUUUUGUGAGUCUAUUAUAUUUCUGAUUGUUAUAGAGUUUAUGGAAAUUUAGGAAGGGUCCUUUGACCGGAACUGCCUUCGACCCGCUGCCUUUGCCAAGUGGUGUUCCAGUGUGUAACACCCUAAUAUUCCACUGUGGGUAUUUGGGGAAAAUCUUUCUAUAAAAUUUAAAUAGAUAAGACCAUCUUAAAAAUAUAUAUAUAUAUUAUUAAGAUAUCCCUUUUAAUAAUAAAUUUGAAGACACUUUUAAACAAGAAACUUAAGUUAGGAUACCUUUUAAUAAAGAUUAUAUGUUAGGGAUUAUCUUCUUGAAGAAAAACAAGUAACUAAUAAAUAGAUAAGGAUUGAUCUCUUGAUAAUAAUUUUUGGUAAUGCAUUUUAUGAGAGAAACAUUAUAGAAUACAAGAUAAAUUUGUAAAUACAUAAAUUUAUUCCAUAAUGGUAUGACUCAAAUUAUACAUUCAAAAUUUAGUGCAAAUUUGCCACCAAACUUAAAUUCAAAUCUGGAAUAGAAAUGAAAUAAAAAAAAAAGAAAAAAACAGAUUGGUUCUUGGGCUCAUUCCCUCCAUUUCGGCCCAACCCCCCUUAUCCCACUCGUCGGCCCAGCUUCACCCGCGCGUAUCUCUCAGUUGAGUCGCGCAUUCUCUUUGACAUGUGGGCCCUACCGGUCGGGGUCAUCUUCCUCACACGAAGGCUGGAUCGCGCUGCGGGAAUCCAGGCGAGGUUGACCGAGGGCGCCAUGAAAUUCGGACAGGGCGCGACCGCCUCCACCCCGCGAUCUUCGCCGGCCACGCGCUGGCAUAACCGCUUCUCCGAACGCCGCGGAUCCCACGCGUGGACCAAGUCCGUCGCUCGCGCAACUGCAUCGCCGAUUUCCUAGUCGCGGACUCCCCGUUUGGUGCAACAACCCCGGGGAAUCGGUCUUCCUCCGCCCGGGUAGAUCCCCGCUGUCCCUAUUUAACUCGUCGGGCCCUCGUGACCUCCUCUCUCCUCGUCCUCGCUCGCGCCAUCCCUGCUCUCUAGAACCCCUGCUGCCGCGCGCCCCUCUCUGGCCAUUCGUCGCCGCCGCGGGCUAACUUCGAUUCGCCGCCGACUUGGCCUCUGUGGGUGCCCGUGUGCCGUCACCAAGGGACCUUGGAAGCUUCGCGAGGAUCGCCAGCAAUCGGGGUCGUCUGGGGUGUGCUGAAUUCCUCAUCGGAGUUCAAUCAUAGCCGCCGUCCGCACUCUACCGUGGCCAGGGUGCCCUUCGCGGCGAGCGCCGGUGAGAACCGUACCCUCAAACUCGCUAUGAUCCAAGCAUCGUUUAACACAUUUUCACUUAGAGUUUGGAGCUCGGUGACGUAGUAUCGACCUACGCCGGCCAGGGCGCCGCCGGGACGCGGUGGCCGCCGCUGUAGCUAGGCGUCGUAGAAGGUGAUGACGGCGCGCCGUUGACUUGACGAUGUGCGGUUCAGAUUUGAAGUCGGGUGCUAUUUCGGUCUAAGUCACGGUUACCGUCCGAUUGGAAUCGAUCGGGUGUGGGCGAUCCUGGGAUAAUUAAAUCUGGAGCGUCGGGUGAAGAUCGGACGAUGCCGGUCGCGUACCGGUUCACAGUAUGUUAUGGGCCAUUGAUCGUUCAUCGGGCGGUUCUGGUGUCUCGGUAGGAUUAGGUCUAAUCCAGACCGUGGGAUGUCGAUCUAAUGGCACAGAUUGGGCCGUACCCCUUCGCCGAGGCAAACUUUCUAAAGAGCCCUCGGAGUCUUGGUUAUUUAACCCGCCGUCCACCGCGGGUAGAAUCUGAGUCUGGGAUAUUUUUAUACAUUAGUCCCUGUGUUUCUCUGUUAUUGGCGCCCAGUCCAGGAAGUUAAGAAAUCAGAUAAAAGGUUUUAGAAAAUGAUUUUUAAUGCAAAAAUAAAGGCUAGAAUUUGUUUAAUUCAUAAGAAAUUCAUAUGAACUCCAAAUUAAUCCAUUCCACUUUCUGAAAUUUUAUAAUUUUAUUCUCUACCACUUAGUGUCUCUGUUUUGACAUGAAAGCAGUUAGAAAAUUAAUUUCUCAUCUAAUCCUAUUUUAAUCACAUUAAACCUUAGGAAAUUCAUAACUUGAAUUCUAUAGCUCCAAAUUUAAUGAUUCCAGUUCAUGUGACCCUAGUUUAAUGUCUAGAUUAUUACUGUGUAUUUAUUUACAUGUUUGGUGUGAUGUUAAUAUUGCCUAUACAUUGCCUGUUCGUAUUGCUACGAUUAGCAGCGAGGUUACGAAUCUUGAAGAUCAUCCUGGUACCUGGAAUCUCAAGUCCCAGGCAAGUUGUGCCCUUGAUCACUUCUUUUACCCACUCAUGUUCUGAUUAAUCAUAAUGAUCUGCAUAGGUUAAUUUUGAUGGGACCCAAUAGGUCACCCUAGUUUGUUCGUCCUGAAUACCUUGUUUACCCCUGAAUCACUUGGGUAGUUCUGCUACUGCUUUAUAUGGUUUUGGGUUAAUAUUUCAUUACAUCUAUGUUCCAAUUAUGUUGUUAUUCUAUUUAUGUUCAUGACAAGAUCAUUAAAUGUUAAUUGGAACAUAGAGCUUAACUUGAGAACCACGUGCCACCACAAGGGUUUAAUGGGACGCCCUUGGCUGACUAAUUAGGAAAGCUAGUGGAGGACUACCUUACCCGAAAGGGGCAAGGGCAGUAGGGGAGUGGUCAGUGUAGGGAGGCCCUCGGGAGGAUUUUGCUGUGAUGGCGGUCCUGCAAGGGAUUCCUGGGAAGGCCCUCGGGAGGAUUUUGCUGUGAUGGCGGUCCUGCAAGGGAUUCCUGGGAAGGCCCUCGGGAGGAUUUUGCUGUGAUGGCGGUCCUGCAAGGGAUUCCUGCAUUGGAGCUUCCUAUAAACUGUAGCGGGUUUUCUGAAGCUAGUGGAACUUUGUAAAGGCCUCGUAGUGUUACCCUGCCUCGCCUCCUCGGUAGAGGUGUAUGGGAAGUCGCGAUCUCUUGGCAGAUGGGUAACAUGACUUGUGGGUAAAGGGUACCACCUCUGCAGAGUGUAAAACUGGUAUACUAGCCGAGCUCACGGUCAUGAGCAGCUCAGGACUCUCUGAUGAUUAAAUUAUGGAACUAAAUUCAAUUUGUCAUAUGCAUUGCAUCGCGGGUGAAGUUGUUAUUUUUGUUCUACUACUUAAUUGGGUUUGGUAUUUACCUAUACUUAGUAACUGCUAAUAAAAGUUUGACCAACUUUAAAAGCAAUGCUCAGCUCUAACCAUCUUCUUUGGUAAGCCUUACACUUCACGUGAGCUCCCACCUUUGGCGAGUUCAUGCACAUUAUUCCCCACAACUUGUUGAGCGAUGAACGUAUGUGAGCUCACUCUUGCUGUCUCACAUACACCACAGGUCAAGACCAGGUACUGCAGGAUGAUGCUCACGGAGGAUGCUGCGAUGAGUUCGUGAGUGGUCUAGGUCGUCGUCUCCCAGUCAACUUUGGGUUGCUGGACCGUUGUCUCCUUAUAAUGUAAUUAUUUAUUUUGUAUAGAACUCCUGUUAUAUAUAAAAAUGUGACAUUCGAUCCUGUGCCACUUUACAUCAUAUGUGUGAGACUUGGUCCCAGCAUACCUGGUGUUUAUGUUAGCGCCCGGGUUUUGGACCCCUAAAAUCCGGGUGUUACAGAAGUGGUAUCAGAGGAAUGUUGACUGUAGGACAAAACCUAGAUAGAACUGGACAACCCUUACAUACUUACCUUACUCUAAUUCUUUUCUAAACUUAUCUUAAUCUUUUCUCAUCUAUUUCCGCUUUACUCUGAUUAUCCUUACCAUUUCCUUCUAAAGACAAAUGUGGAUUUCACACUUUGAAAUCCUAUUCCUAGAGUGACUUUAGGAAUAGGAGACCUACUCUUAGGAACAAAAAUAAAACUAUUUUUGUAUGUAUCUAUACACUUGAAUGUUUGUUCUUAUGAUGCUUGUCUGAUUUGGAUCUUUGAUUGGGUGUGAUGAGUUGUGGAGUAAUUUCCACAAUUACAUCUGCAUAUAUAUAUAGAAAAAACACUUACAAAAAAACUAGAUAAACUAGAUUAUCCCUUGUUAAAGUAUCUAGCCUAACAAUAUCCAUCUCAGCUUGAAAGAUUGAUACUCUAUUCUCAUAGAUCCAUCUUAUCUCAAAAGAUCCUAACUUAUCCUAAUUAAAAUAUAUCUAGCUUCAUAGAUCCAUUCUUAUCUUAAAAGAAUUUAUCUUAUCUUAUCUUAUCUUAUCCUAACCACUUUGCUUAUCUCACCUCGGAGUAACAAUCAUGAUCCAAUCCAAAUUAAUUAGAUCUUAUGUAGUUCAAACUAGUCACACUAAUCUAACCUAGAUUUGAUCUAAUCUAAAGUGACUUAUCAAACAUGUUAGAUAAUACUGAUGAAAUAGAUUAGACUCUACUCUUAUAGAACAUGUCUUAACUUAGUUCACCCUGCACUAAAUUAAGAACGACAGACCGACUUGGCCAUAUGCAGCUACCUUAACCAUCCGAUAGUUGCAUAACCCCUCGAUUUUAACCUAGCAAGAGAUUCUAACCUACCUACACCACAUAAUCCAUCCUACUCACAUAUAUCUUAACCAUAUGUCCUCAACUCGGAUGGCAACUCCAAGAUUAAAGACCGAAGAUGAUCAACCUCAUCGAGGAAGGAUAAGCGCCAAUUCAAGUCUUCAAAGACCAAGCUAAAUCAUCAGAUGAGUCAAGAUCCACUAUGCAUGAUGGAGACCUUCCUUGCCAAAAAUCUUUCUUUCUUAUACUUGUCUUGAUCUUUCUUACCCCAACUUUCUUAGUAAUUGUUAAAACAUGGUUAUAAGAUACCCAUGCUAUCCUACUCAGCUACUAGUUAGUCUUAAAAAAAACACUUUAUCGUUUGGUACCAAUUGGAAACUAGAAGCGAAAUACAAACAAAACCUUCUAUAUCCCUUUUCUUAGCAAUCUCGAGGACGAGAUUUCUAUUAAGGGGGGUAGGAUUUGUAACACCCUAAUAUUCCACUGUGGGUAUUUGGGGAAAAUCUUUCUAUAAAAUUUAAAUAGAUAAGACCAUCUUAAAAAUAUAUAUAUAUAUAUUAUUAAGAUAUCCCUUUUAAUAAUAAAUUUGAAGACACUUUUAAACAAGAAACUUAAGUUAGGAUACCUUUUAAUAAAGAUUAUAUGUUAGGGAUUAUCUUCUUGAAGAAAAACAAGUAACUAAUAAAUAGAUAAGGAUUGAUCUCUUGAUAAUAAUUUUUGGUAAUGCAUUUUAUGAGAGAAACAUUAUAGAAUACAAGAUAAAUUUGUAAAUACAUAAAUUUAUUCCAUAAUGGUAUGACUCAAAUUAUACAUUCAAAAUUUAGUGCAAAUUUGCCACCAAACUUAAAUUCAAAUCUGGAAUAGAAAUGAAAUAAAAAAAAAGAGAAAAAAACAGAUUGGUUCUUGGGCUCAUUCCCUCCAUUUCGGCCCAACCCCCCUUAUCCCACUCGUCGGCCCAGCUUCACCCGCGCGUAUCUCUCAGUUGAGUCGCGCAUUCUCUUUGACAUGUGGGCCCUACCGGUCGGGGUCAUCUUCCUCACACGAAGGCUGGAUCGCGCUGCGGGAAUCCAGGCGAGGUUGACCGAGGGCGCCAUGAAAUUCGGACAGGGCGCGACCGCCUCCACCCCGCGAUCUUCGCCGGCCACGCGCUGGCAUAACCGCUUCUCCGAACGCCGCGGAUCCCACGCGUGGACCAAGUCCGUCGCUCGCGCAACUGCAUCGCCGAUUUCCUAGUCGCGGACUCCCCGUUUGGUGCAACAACCCCGGGGAAUCGGUCUUCCUCCGCCCGGGUAGAUCCCCGCUGUCCCUAUUUAACUCGUCGGGCCCUCGUGACCUCCUCUCUCCUCGUCCUCGCUCGCGCCAUCCCUGCUCUCUAGAACCCCUGCUGCCGCGCGCCCCUCUCUGGCCAUUCGUCGCCGCCGCGGGCUAACUUCGAUUCGCCGCCGACUUGGCCUCUGUGGGUGCCCGUGUGCCGUCACCAAGGGACCUUGGAAGCUUCGCGAGGAUCGCCAGCAAUCGGGGUCGUCUGGGGUGUGCUGAAUUCCUCAUCGGAGUUCAAUCAUAGCCGCCGUCCGCACUCUACCGUGGCCAGGGUGCCCUUCGCGGCGAGCGCCGGUGAGAACCGUACCCUCAAACUCGCUAUGAUCCAAGCAUCGUUUAACACAUUUUCACUUAGAGUUUGGAGCUCGGUGACGUAGUAUCGACCUACGCCGGCCAGGGCGCCGCCGGGACGCGGUGGCCGCCGCUGUAGCUAGGCGUCGUAGAAGGUGAUGACGGCGCGCCGUUGACUUGACGAUGUGCGGUUCAGAUUUGAAGUCGGGUGCUAUUUCGGUCUAAGUCACGGUUACCGUCCGAUUGGAAUCGAUCGGGUGUGGGCGAUCCUGGGAUAAUUAAAUCUGGAGCGUCGGGUGAAGAUCGGACGAUGCCGGUCGCGUACCGGUUCACAGUAUGUUAUGGGCCAUUGAUCGUUCAUCGGGCGGUUCUGGUGUCUCGGUAGGAUUAGGUCUAAUCCAGACCGUGGGAUGUCGAUCUAAUGGCACAGAUUGGGCCGUACCCCUUCGCCGAGGCAAACUUUCUAAAGAGCCCUCGGAGUCUUGGUUAUUUAACCCGCCGUCCACCGCGGGUAGAAUCUGAGUCUGGGAUAUUUUUAUACAUUAGUCCCUGUGUUUCUCUGUUAUUGGCGCCCAGUCCAGGAAGUUAAGAAAUCAGAUAAAAGGUUUUAGAAAAUGAUUUUUAAUGCAAAAAUAAAGGCUAGAAUUUGUUUAAUUCAUAAGAAAUUCAUAUGAACUCCAAAUUAAUCCAUUCCACUUUCUGAAAUUUUAUAAUUUUAUUCUCUACCACUUAGUGUCUCUGUUUUGACAUGAAAGCAGUUAGAAAAUUAAUUUCUCAUCUAAUCCUAUUUUAAUCACAUUAAACCUUAGGAAAUUCAUAACUUGAAUUCUAUAGCUCCAAAUUUAAUGAUUCCAGUUCAUGUGACCCUAGUUUAAUGUCUAGAUUAUUACUGUGUAUUUAUUUACAUGUUUGGUGUGAUGUUAAUAUUGCCUAUACAUUGCCUGUUCGUAUUGCUACGAUUAGCAGCGAGGUUACGAAUCUUGAAGAUCAUCCUGGUACCUGGAAUCUCAAGUCCCAGGCAAGUUGUGCCCUUGAUCACUUCUUUUACCCACUCAUGUUCUGAUUAAUCAUAAUGAUCUGCAUAGGUUAAUUUUGAUGGGACCCAAUAGGUCACCCUAGUUUGUUCGUCCUGAAUACCUUGUUUACCCCUGAAUCACUUGGGUAGUUCUGCUACUGCUUUAUAUGGUUUUGGGUUAAUAUUUCAUUACAUCUAUGUUCCAAUUAUGUUGUUAUUCUAUUUAUGUUCAUGACAAGAUCAUUAAAUGUUAAUUGGAACAUAGAGCUUAACUUGAGAACCACGUGCCACCACAAGGGUUUAAUGGGACGCCCUUGGCUGACUAAUUAGGAAAGCUAGUGGAGGACUACCUUACCCGAAAGGGGCAAGGGCAGUAGGGGAGUGGUCAGUGUAGGGAGGCCCUCGGGAGGAUUUUGCUGUGAUGGCGGUCCUGCAAGGGAUUCCUGGGAAGGCCCUCGGGAGGAUUUUGCUGUGAUGGCGGUCCUGCAAGGGAUUCCUGGGAAGGCCCUCGGGAGGAUUUUGCUGUGAUGGCGGUCCUGCAAGGGAUUCCUGCAUUGGAGCUUCCUAUAAACUGUAGCGGGUUUUCUGAAGCUAGUGGAACUUUGUAAAGGCCUCGUAGUGUUACCCUGCCUCGCCUCCUCGGUAGAGGUGUAUGGGAAGUCGCGAUCUCUUGGCAGAUGGGUAACAUGACUUGUGGGUAAAGGGUACCACCUCUGCAGAGUGUAAAACUGGUAUACUAGCCGAGCUCACGGUCAUGAGCAGCUCAGGACUCUCUGAUGAUUAAAUUAUGGAACUAAAUUCAAUUUGUCAUAUGCAUUGCAUCGCGGGUGAAGUUGUUAUUUUUGUUCUACUACUUAAUUGGGUUUGGUAUUUACCUAUACUUAGUAACUGCUAAUAAAAGUUUGACCAACUUUAAAAGCAAUGCUCAGCUCUAACCAUCUUCUUUGGUAAGCCUUACACUUCACGUGAGCUCCCACCUUUGGCGAGUUCAUGCACAUUAUUCCCCACAACUUGUUGAGCGAUGAACGUAUGUGAGCUCACUCUUGCUGUCUCACAUACACCACAGGUCAAGACCAGGUACUGCAGGAUGAUGCUCACGGAGGAUGCUGCGAUGAGUUCGUGAGUGGUCUAGGUCGUCGUCUCCCAGUCAACUUUGGGUUGCUGGACCGUUGUCUCCUUAUAAUGUAAUUAUUUAUUUUGUAUAGAACUCCUGUUAUAUAUAAAAAUGUGACAUUCGAUCCUGUGCCACUUUACAUCAUAUGUGUGAGACUUGGUCCCAGCAUACCUGGUGUUUAUGUUAGCGCCCGGGUUUUGGACCCCUAAAAUCCGGGUGUUACACAGUGCCUAUGUGUUUUUGUGGUGAUCCUUGUAAGGUCGAUAAGUCUGAAGAUCAUGACACCUAUCGACAGAGGUAUUGGAUGUGUGCUAACUUUGCAUUUGAGCCAACUGUUGUUCAACGUCGGAUGAAUUUAAUGGUGAGAAUAGUCUUGUAAUAUGUUUACAUUUGUGAAUGUUUUUGUAAAUGUUUUUUUGCGUACUAAUAAUUGCACAUUUUGUAGACUCCUCCACCGCUAUGUGAUUUUGAGCAGUGGAUUGACACCGAAAUAUCAGAGAAAGAUAAGAAGUGGCUGGAGAAUCUUCAAAAGUGGGAUGCAGAGGACAAAGAGAGGAUGAAAAAAAGACGAGAGGAGCUUGCUGCCGAGCAACAACGUGAAGACGAAGAGAAAAUGAGGCGUGUUGCUGAAUGCAGGGAAGAUAAGGAGAAGAAGCUUGAGCGUGCACGUCGUGCAAAGGAAGCAAUGGAGGAGAACCCUGAUGCAUUUCGCAAAGGCAAAUGGCCCCGUUGUACUCAGUAGUAUUGGUGUUUUAUUUGAAGUUAUGUAAUAAUGAACUUAUUAUUCGGUAAUAUGUAUUGUCGAACAAUGAUAUUUCGUAAUGAAUUACCUUCAAAUUGAUGAAAAAUUACAUAAAUACAUAAUUGAUGAAAAGUAGAUUUAAAGCAAUUCUUGAAGGCGACUUGAAGCAAUUGAAAUAGAUAACCAACACGCUAAAAGCAAUUGAUACAUAAGAGUAUUCUAGUAGUGCUCCCACAUUCCAAAUUGAGUUGACCCUUCCCCAUAGUAUCCUCCCAUUGUUGGUGUCUGCUGUGGGUGCGGUGGAGACGACGGAGGACCAACAUUCUUGUUGUGACAAGGGCAGCAACAAUAUGGAUCUGGGCAUACUUGCACCUGUGAAGCACCACCAUUGUUUGUGUCUCUUUCUUCCUCAUCAUUUUUGUUGCUUACUUCUCUCUCUAGAUCAAAUAUCCUAUUCUGUAGGUAGGAUAUGUAUUCCGCAUGAGGAAAAAUUGGACGAGGAUCUACCCAACGAGUGAACCCACAAUUCUCCUUGACCAAUGAAUGCUGCAUAAAUGUUUAUAGUUAGUUUCACUGAACAACAAAAGUAUUUAGAAAAAAGGACUAGAAAUUAAUUUGUACAUAUGCAUAAGGACAUCUGAAGAAACGCCGGCCUCCAUCAAUUCCACCCUCAACGAACAUCUGCACCAAGCAAUCCUCGCCAUGCAUGCACUUCGGCCAAUCUUCUCUCCUAUUAUCGUAGGACCUAAGUCUAACCUCUUUGUUGAAAUCUUUUUUACUUUGAACUAGAAAGUUAAAAACCGCCUCUUCAAAAAAAUCUGGACCAAGAGGGCCAUCAAAAGACAUUGGAGUUAACUUCCCUCCAUCCUUUCGUCUCUCAUUUACCGCACCCUUGCCCCUAGAAGACCCUGAAGCCAUUCUAUUGCACAAUGAAGCAAAUGUACAAAGGAUCGUGUAUAUAUAGGCUAAAGGAUAGAUAGUGUAAUAGAUUAUAAACAUCAGAUAUGUACAAAAACUCUGAAAAGGCUAUGUUCUAGUUCUGAAAAGGCUACAUGUCCUACGCUAUGUUCUUUUUCUGAAAAGGCUAUAUAUACAAUCCUGAAAAGGCUAUUUUUACACUCUGAAAAGGCUAUAUAAGCACUCCUGAAAAGGCUACGAAAUUGAUCUGAAAAGUAUAGAUGCUAGUCCUAAAAUUAAUGCUUCUGAAAAGGCUAUGUAAUAGUUAUGUAAAGGCUACAUGACAUAACCAACAAUUUCACAAAAUUUCGGCAGAGUUUUCUCUGUUUUUUGUCAAUCCAAGACAUACUCAUAGAUAAGCAUAACAUACAAGUGCAUACAAUUGUAAACAAUUCCAAGCAAGCUCAUAAAAGUCUAAACAAGUUCAUUACAAGUCCAUAGAAUUCAUACAAGUCCAUUAAAAUGUCAUACAAGCCCGUAGAGGCCAAAUGAGUCCAUUACAAGUCUAUAUAAUUCAUACGUUACAUAACAAGUCCAUAGAGUCCAAACCAAUUCAACGUCUCCUAGUCUUACCCUUGCCUAAAGCGUCGGUGCCUGGAGUGUAACGUUGUGGAGAGCGGUGUCGCCUACGAUCCUGUGGUUGUAAUGGCUGUGUCGAAGGAGCCCCCUCAAGCUGUGAAGGUCCUAUCUCGUCGUGAUCGUAGUCGAAGCCAGCACCAAGACCUGUGGAGGGCGUUGCUGUGUCGGUACACGAUGGUACAUGGACGUCAUGUGCAACAGUAGUCCUGCAGCCACAGCGAGCAGCAGCUCCACGUAGGCGCCUAGAUAAACGCUGCAUGCCAAAGACAUAUUAGUUUACAACAUAUUCAUAACACGCUAAAGGCUAUAAACGAUGCAUGUGGGCUUACCUGCAAGAAGCUGCGCAUGCUGCUGUCGCCCGUAGUCAAAAGUUGGCGAUCAAUGUCCUCUACCGACCGUCGCAAUGUGUUACCCUGUACAACACAAUUUGCAUCACACAUACUAUUUAUACAUGUCGAGUAUUAAAAUCGAGUAAAACUUACCACUCGAUCUAAUAUGGGUGCCGCCUCCACUUGGGUUCCCAGUCUAGUGGUCAGGUCAUACUCCGUUUCUUCAUCGUCUGAAGAAUCAAUGUCGGCGUAGUCUUCCGCUGUCCACUGCUGGCGAAGCUUACAACGAGUCGCACCCUGGUACCAAGCCUGGUACCGCCUGUAAUCACUAUUGUUGUGCAACUCAUCGUUGGAAUAUACAUUCUCAGCACCCGAUUCCCAAUCAUUUACUAAUAUCAGAUGAUGUUGACGAAAGUCCGUUAUCUUCUUUUGCUUCCGCCGGUCAAAUCUACACACAAAUCAUAUCAUAUAAAUAACACAAAGUUAAGAAUGAUUGAUGUUAUAAAUUGCAAACUGGAUUUAUAGAUUGCGAACUUACUUGUGUAGCUCCUUUGAAGUAGGAACAUCUUCAACCGGCCAUAGCUGGUUCCUACCAAACUGUCUCUGAACCCUGUGAGGUAGGUGCCACUCAACACACCAGAAACAGACCAAAGGACAUUGCAUCAUAUAGAGUUCAUCUUCACUGCUGCAUACUACACUAAAGAUCAUCCCAGCAUACUCAGGUGCGUUGUAUGGCUGCCAUGUGACCUAAAACAAAAAUGAAGCAAUCUAUGUUAAGUAUAAUAAAACAAAUUUCAUAACGAUAAGUUUUUCAUUGUUGAGUACUUACGCUAGAGGCAGAAAGGGUGUCAAACUCGUUAACAUACUCCAUGUAUGCCCUCUUAGCUCUCGCAAAAGGAGCUGCCACUUGGUCCCAAAUAUAAGCAUACGUCGGUCGAAGACGAUCAUUUCCAUGAAUCAUCCAUGGCCAGGGUCUAGGCUGGAAAACACGUGGUCGACCAACUGGUAUGCGAAACCUGCAAAAUGAAAUUUAUGUUAGUAAGUAAUAUAGCCUUAUUAAAUAAAAUUUUGAAGACUUCGGUCCAAGACGUACCACAUCCAUAUCUGCAGGAGGUAGACGCAACCGCCUAUAGACGAAGAGGAGGACGUACGACGGCAAGCUUCACAAAGCUGCCGGUACAAAAAAGAAAGCACAGCGGAGCCCCAACUGUACUGUCCAGCUGUAUCCCAGUCGGUUAGACAUGGGAUGUACAUCCAGGACGCGCAGUCUCCUGUGGCGUCUGGGAAGAGGACACAACCAAACAUGUGCAAGAUCCAAGCUCGACAAUAGAACUGGACUGUAGCCUCAUCAGCAUCAGCAGGGCACACACCAAAAGACUGACGGAGCCAUGUGAUGCCUACUCCAGCAGUCCGUUCAACGCCCUCAGCAGGAAGCUCCCUACCAAGAAAGGCCUCAACUCUAGCCCUCCAUCCGUCAGAGUCACAUUGGCCUGUCACUGCUCUGCCACCAACAUUGAGUCCAAGUAUCUUCUGUGCAUCCUCUAAUGUGACUGUCAUCUCACCAAAAGGAAGAUGAAAACUAUGUGUCUCAGGACGCCACCUACAUAAUUAAAAAAAAUAGUGUAAAAGAGCUCAAUGAUUCAAGAAUAUUUUUAUAAAAUCAUAACAAUACCUGUCCACAAGUGCAGUAAUGGCCGCCGAAUCAAUAGUAGGCAACCCGCGUCGUAACUGGUAAGAUAUUACAUCUAGACCUGCUCGUCUGAGGUAAUUAGUGUACCUGUCGUCGAACACCAUGUCUAGGAACCCAUUGUGUGUCCUAGAACGAAGCGUUGCUAGGUCCUACACGGAAAAAUAUUAUAUAAGCAACACCAUUUGUACAACAACAAAUCUACAAAAGAUAUUUACAAUUAAAUACCUGGCCUUCCGACAGAAGGCGCCCCCGGUGGCUCUCGUCGUAGAACGGGUCGAGAAGGUGGAACUGUGCCAUCCUACAAAAUGAAAUUAAUGUUAGUAAGUAAUAUAGCCUUAUUAAAUAAAAUUAAGGUAGUAUCAUUAAACUAAAAAUACAAACCUCGCUAAUCUGCCAACGACAAGUGCGUGAAUUAUGACCAAGUCUACCGCACUUGCCACACUCAUACUGCUCGGGGUCGGUAAGAAAUGGUGUUCUCCUUCCCCUUCUACUCCUACCACCAACCUGAUCCAUAACCAUCUUGUGCCUCGUCCUCUUCCUGGAUCCACGCUUGGUCCAACGACUACUUGGAUCAGCGACAUACUUUGGGCCAUCGUACGGAGGCCACUCACCCGCGUCACGAUAAGGAAUAAAUCUUGGACUCCAAGUCAACACUAGUUUAUCAAUAGUAAACUCUUGAGGUAUCCUCCUCUCUAAGUCAAAGUUACGAGCUCGAGCAGCUGCGAUUAGAUGAGAACAUGGAAAAUGGUAUUGCCUGGGUGCGCCACAAGUACAUGACAAGUCAUUAAGGACAACCACAUGCUUCCUCGACUCUUGUGACUCGCCGUCAGAAGUAGUACCAGCUUGAAGGAAUACCUCAUAUGUCCCUGACUGUAAGUCAAAACAAUCAACAGUGUGUGUGUUUGCCCUUUCCUUUGCCUUCUCUAGAAAGGUCUUAGGCUUUGGAGCCCAUCUCUCUCCCUCAUUCUGCAAUCCAACUGCGUGGGUGUGUCUAUCAUUGAACCAUGCCACAAGCUUGUAAAAGGUAAAUGUCACUAUAGCAGUGACCGGCAUACCACGUAUGCCCAACAAUAAUUUGUUGAAUGACUCGGCCAUGUUACUACACUGGAACUCAUAUCUCCAUCCACCUAAGUCGUGAGCUCUCGUCCACUUCUCCAAAUCCGGCAUCAAUCCAUUCAACCAAUCUCUACCUUCGGCAUUUGUUGCGACUUUGAGCUUUUCUAACUUUUCUCUAAAGAACUUGUCUUCCAGCUGUCGACAUGUCUCCUGGAAAAGCUCAAAGUUAUCCUUGACACCAUCCUUACGCAGAAGAUUCUCAGCAAGGUGUCGAGUACACCACCUGUGAUGCAAAGGAGGGUACCCAUCGAUCUGCUCACGGACCGCGUUGAGUAUUCCCUGGUGCCGAUCUGAUAUUACACCAACUUCCCGUCCUGGGCCAACCACAUGUAUCCGGACCAGUCGCAGGAACCAGCCCCAACUGUCUUUGUUCUCUUUCUCUACCAGAGCAAAUGCUAGGGGAACUAGCUUGUUGUUUGCAUCAACGGAUAUGGCAAUUAGAAGAGUGCCCUGGUACUUGCCGAGAAGAAACGUGCCGUCAAUUGAAAAGACAGGACGACAAUGCCGGAAGGCAUCCACACACUAGGGAAAGCACCAGAACACACGGAAGAAUAUCUGUCUCCCAUCAAUCCAUACAUUUGGUUUAGGGAUGUACUCAUAAUGCAUGCCUGGAUUGACCGCCUUCAUUGCAUUUAAAAGAACAGAUAGCUGCUCGUACCCAGACUCCCAGUCCCCAUAUAUCAUCUUCCACGCACACUGCUUAGCCCUCCAAGCUUUACCAUAUGUUAUCUUGUACCCAUCAAACACAUUCUCCACGAUCCUCAUGAUUGUCCUAACCUUCAUAUUUGGUUCCGACUGCAGUAUUCCCAUAAGUCGCUUCCCAAUGAGGGUUGAUGUCAAUUGGCGAUGUUUCAUCGUUAACUCAUGUUCAGCACAUGUGUGUGGCCCCACUACUUUUGUUAUCUUCCACUUUGCGGUGAUCUUUUGAAUCCUAGCACAAACCCUCCAUGAACAGUUGUCCUUGUCGCAUACAACCGUGUAACGACGUUUCUCGUACGAAUGAAGUACUCUAUACGGCCUCUUACGUAAGACUGCAUAAUGCUGCAACCACCUCUUCAAUGCAGUUAGGUCCUUGAAGACCCUACCCUUUUCAAUCAUCAUGCUAGGACCGGCCUCAGGAGCGUCAAGCAGCUCAUCAUCCCUGCCCUCUGCAUUUGCCUGAUGAGAAAGACUAAGAUCGCUGAACUCAUGCACUCUAGGAUCCCGACCGUCUGGAAAAACACGUUGCAACAUCUUAAUGUCACUCUCUGUGAGUUCACCAACCGGGCGAUCAUCAUCUGAAUCGGCAGCCAUAGCAAAGGCAUAUGGCUCCUCUUCAUUCCUAAUCUCAGGACUGUUGGAGGCAAUAAAACCAUCACCGAAGCAGCCACGUGCCUCAGUCUGAGGAUCAACCACAAGAGUAGGAGUCUCUCCUGCAACAUGUACAAGAUGAUCAGUCCCACGUCAAAUGGAAUGAGCAAAGUGCUCAUGGUCCAAAAUGAAGAUGUAAUGCCAAUAAGACUUACUGCAAUUGGUUUGUGCCAAAGGGAUACACGCAGCUAAAUCUGUCUGCAGACCAUCUCCUGGCUGACUUAAUGGGAUCAAAUUGGGGCCAGAUUGAGCAUCAGGAACAGUUGGCACGUCAUCGAUAGCACGAUCAAAGUCUUCAGGGGGACGGUCUACUACAACCGGACGCACCACAACCUCCAUGAGUUGCAAAUGGGUCUUCAUAGCCGAAGUAAUAUAAUUAUCCCAAUCCAGUUGACAAUCAAUUGGGAUGACUCGUCUUAUGACAUUUGGUGGAUGACCGAUAUUAAGCACUCCGUCAACCGCAAUGUCAUCAUCUUCAUGGUAACCGAGCUUUUGUUUAGCCUUUGUAAACAAAUCACUCAAGGAGGGUCUACCAUCGAAUAGUACCGGCACGUGUCGCAUGUCAAUGAACUUGGCAUUUCCAUACGGAUCUUGUUCCACAUUGCCUCCAUGAUAUAAGCUCAAAAAAUUGUCCAUCUAUUUGAAACACCAAUUAAACAUUCAAUAUAAAAUGUGGAUGGUUAUUACCUAACCACAACACACUAAUUACUAGCUACAUAACUAUAAAUAUAACCACAACCCACUAAUAGACUAACCACCUUAUAAAUUACUCAUAUAUAAUAAUUGAAACUUUUGACAGCACCUCCCCUACACGGGGAGGAUAAAAAACAUGCACAUUUGACUCACUUUCAUAAUAUUCAUUCAAAUUUGCAUUUAUCACAAUAACUCAUAUUCAUCACAUUCAAAAAACAACUAAUUAUAGCAAAACAAUCUAACAUAUUUAACACUAAAUGCUAACACAAUAACAAAAAUAAUCAAAAAUUUACCUUAACGGUCGGGGUCGGGGUCGGGGUUGGACGACGACGACGCGGGCGGGGAGCGGGCUCCGGGGCGGGGCGGCGUGUCGCCGGCCGGUGUAUGGGCGCGGGCGCCGGGAGGGGCGGGGCUUGGUGCGCCGGCGGGGAUGGGGCGCGGCCGGGGCUCGACGUUGGGGCGGCGGCCUUGGCGGUGUGGGCCGGCGGCCUUGGCUGGAAGGGGGCGGGGCGCUUGCCGGGGGAGGGGCGGGGCGAGACGGCGCGCCGGCGUCGAGCAGGGGGCGGCGCGGGCGGCCUCCGGUGGUCGCGGCCGCCGUGGAGCAGGGGCGGCGCGGACGGGCUCCGGUGGGCGCGACCACCGUGGAGCAGGGGCGGCGUGCAAGGUCCGGUUGGCGCGGGCGUCGGCGAGCGUCGGCGGCGCGAGGGGCAGAGGGAUAGAAGGCCGACGGCGCGGUUUGAAAAUUUUGGUUGAAACUCGGGCGGCUCAGAAUAUAAGGGGUCGGCGCCAUAGAUCUUGACGCCGACCCCUUGGUACGAAUUUUGCAGACGCGGGGGCGGCGGCGCAGAUGCCAGGAGGUCGGCGCCAAGAUCUAUGGCGCCGACCCCCUGACACGUCGGCUGCCAGGUCAGAUUGUCCGGCGUCAAUAGUAUUGGCGCCGGCACACACAUGCUCGGCGCCAAUGAUGACGGCGCCGAGCUAAGGGUCCAUUUUUUGAAAUGAAACUGCCAGAGGCAUAAAUGUGGGAAAAAAACUCGAAAAGGGCCAAAUUGCAAAAAAGUUGGUACAGGUAAGCUGUAACCUGUAACUCGUCUUACUCAAUAUUCGUUCUAGGCCUUGAGCGAGACGGUCUGUGUUGAACCCUCUGCCUCCCUUGGCCAAGUUCAAAGUUGAGAUGAUGUUGUGAAUGGCAGAAAGGAGAGUAGAUAAUUUAAGCGCCGACGUGUACGUGUUUAUAUAGGGGUGGCAAAUGGCAAUUACCGUAGCCUUAAUUUACAAAUUUAAAAAUAAAGAAGACUUGAUUUGGUUGUUAUAUCUUUCUAUCUUUAUGUAAACCAAAUCAAAUAUAUCUCUUACCUUUGGAAAGUAUAACCAAUCAUGUUUAUACAGAGAAGAUCAUAUGAGAUUGCAAUAUAAGUUAUACUAUUUUACAACCCCUACAACCACACCUUUCCUAGUUUUUAAAAAUUUCCGACUUUCUUAUGGUGAUAGUUUUCAUGGACCCGUUGACGACUUGAUCUUCUGUAAGCACGGAAUGAACGGCAAACAAUUUUCUGGCCACUUGUUUUUUGAUAAAGUGGUAAUCAACUUUGUCAGCAUUCAGAGAAAGGCGUAUCCCUCGCUACUACCAAGACGCCCUCAAGGAUCCUUGCCAGGGGACUGAUCUCAAACCUCACAGUAGAAGGGUCAUUGUGAUUGUGACUUCAUAUCCAGGCCGCUCACUAAACUACAUGAUGUAGCAUAUGGAGUUAAGCCCCUGUGUGCCCUGGAGCAAUUACGAGUCUACUCCCCAAGACUUUGUAUGCUCGAGGGCGAUGCAAUUACGAGUCUACAGAUGUAGGCGAGCAAGCGAUGCCCCUCGACGUGUGAGUAGCGACGGCGAUGCACGAGGAACGAGGUUUGAGCGGCGUCACGGAAGGCGCGAGGUGCAAGUAGCAACGAUCGCGCAUGACAUCCUCCGAUCCGGUGCAGUUCGAGCAUCCCGAGUGACGACCUACAUCUGUGCUUAUGUCGUCGACGACGUCCUCCGGCGACUACCUCCUCCGAUUCGUGUUUUCUUUUCUAUUAUUGUGUUUUAUGUCUACCACAUAUAUUAUUUACGCUAAAAAUGUACGAUUUUAUGUUUCAACACGUAGUUCGUAUAUCAGUUUAAUACAUGCAUAUUUUGUGUAUGCAUAUUGGAAAGACAUAUCUUUGAUUUAUGCUCUUCGUAAUUAUCAUAAAAAAUCAAAUCAAAUCAUUUAUGUUCGUAAAUGCCAGAUUUGUACGUCUACCAUAAAAUUAUCCCUAAUUUCCGCAUGUUUGUAAUUCUCAUAAAAAAUCAAAUCAAAUCACUUAUGUUCGUAAAUACCAGAUUUUUAGGUAUGCUAUAAAACUGUCCCUAAUUUUUGUUGGCGUUCUUAGUUGGACUGAUAUUAGGUUUUUUUAUCAAUUAUGCUGCACAAUGUAAGUAUUUAUGUGACGUUGUAUAAGAAUUUAUGUUCUGUGUGACUCAUGUCAUCCAAUUUUUAGCGCACGUGCACUAGAAAGAAAAUACAAUCCAAAAUUUGUAAUUACAACUCACUAGAGCUAUUAACCUCACACAUUGACUCGAUAUUUACGCUUAUAACUGAGAGAUUUUAUGCUCAAAACUUAAGAUUUUUACGCUCGAACAUAUAGAUGUGUCCACCACUGAACAUGCCAGAUAUUUUACGCAGUGUACCACAUUGUAUAAAUACUUACAUCAUGUAGCAUAAUUUGUAUAAAAUAUAUCAUAAACUGGUCUAACAAGCCUAAUUGUAUGGUUGUUGGAGCGAUCCUAUAUUUAUGAAGAAUUAAAAUAUUUAAAUAAGUUUUUUGUUUCUAGUCUAUUUUUUCCAUCCACAUUCAUUUAAAUGAUAAUAAAUAUAGACAUGCAUGUAAACUACAUUUAUACUUUACUUAAUAAAUAUGUAAUUAGUAAAAAACGAAUUAUAUUUUGAGACGACGAGUUAAUGGCAUGUACAGAUAUUACUAAUACUGAGAUUCAAAUAACAUGUCCAAAUGAAAAUAUCAUAUGAAAGGUAUAGGAGACGCAUGGACAACUAUUCCUAAUGUUGGAUAGGAAUAAAGGUUCUAACAUACAUUCAUAUAACAUGUCCAGAUAAAAAGUUUCUAGCUGAAUAUAUAUAGUCCUUAUUACUAUUAAGUUCUAUAUAUAGAAAGCAAUAACGGCUCAGUAGAUUAAUCCAAACACCAAAACUUCGCAAACUAGGAGAGAACGAACGCAGCAGCUAGCGACUAGCUUGUUACCAUAUCCCUAAACACAAGCGCAUCCAGAAGCUCAUCCGCGCAAUCAGAACCUCAUCAACUGGCAUUUACACUAGGAGGCCGAGGCUCGAGCAUGAAUCCUGGGUGCAGUGCCUCAUGAUCCUCAGCCUUAGGCUUGGUUGCUUGCAACAGCUGGACACACUCGUCGACCUUAACCGACAACAUCUCCGACGAGCAAAGCAACGUGACCACUUCAGAGUUGUCAAGCUCCAAGAGCAUCCCAGUGAUUUUGCUCGCGAGUUCGGGCUGCAACGACCAAGUGGCACAUUUGACAAGUUAAUUCAAAACCCGGCCGCCCUUUCUUAUGAAUGAAAAAAAAACUCUAUCUAUCCAAAAAUAAUAAUCAUCAUAAUAGACUAGAGAAAAGGCCAAAUUUUAUAGAUUUUGACCAAUAAUUAGUGAAUAUGUAUGAAAGUUUAGAUCAUAAAUAAAGUUUACGUCCACAUAUUUGUGUCAAAACUAUCUCUAAGAUGAUAUUGAUUUUUAGCGAUCGACUUUAUGUUAUAAGAAAAAUUAAUGGUCAAAAACUUUUGUAUGAUUUUUUUCUCUCGUCUAAUAUGAUUAACAUUUUUCGAUUACUAACGGUAGAAAAAGGAUUUACGUGAUGCCUAUUGUUACUAACGGUAGAAAGAGGACUACCUGAUGCCUCUCAACAAGAGGAUAGAGCCUGUUCCCAAGCAAGUUCUUUUGUUCCGCGGGUGGAGCGGAGGCCAAAUAGUUGCUAAAAGAAUCAUUCAUUGUUGAAACCGGGUCACUUUGAUGGAUGGCCAAGCUGUUGGCCAUAACAUCAUUUGAGAAGUACUUCGGAUGAUUGAAUCGCUGCAAAAGCUCCAACGUAUAAGGUUGUCUAGUGAAAAGGAUAUAAACAAAAAACAAA